GGCGGUGCUCUCGGGUGCGGCGGCUCUCCGGCGAGGUUCGUGUUUUGGUGAUUCAGCUCCGAUCAACCUGUAGAGAAAAGAAUGAUGAUCACGGUGAUAUAAAAAUUGCAUCAAACGGAGGCCUGGAAGGGCCUCAUCGGAGGCAAAAACCGAGGAGGGGCGCGGCGGCGCCGCUGGGUUUCGGCCGUGUUUUCCGGCCGUUUGACCGG
rnacentral:lncRNA from 1 species